rnacentral:rRNA from 1 species
UCGUAGGGUGCAAGCGUUAAUCGGAAUUACUGGGCGUAAAGCGUGCGCAGGCGGUUUCGUAAGUCUGUCGUGAAAUCCCCGGGCUUAACCUGGGAAUGGCGAUGGAGACUGCGAGGCUAGAGUUUGGCAGAGGGGGGUAGAAUUCCACGUGUAGCAGUGAAAUGCGUAGAGAUGUGGAGGAACACCAGUGGCGAAGGCGGCUCACUGGACCGGUUCUGACGCUGAUGCGCGAAAGCGUGGGGAGCAAACGGGA